CGGAGUGUAGCGCAGUUGGUAGCGCACCUGCUUUGGGAGCAGGAUGUCGGGAGUUCGAGUCUCCCCACUCCGA
rnacentral:tRNA from 3 species